UCCGUUUAUAAACCUUAUAUGGCGUCACGUGUAAUAUUUAUGCAGCUGUCUAGCCAAUCACGAGGGCUUGGAGCGGCUUCAUGGGGAAGUCCACCGUUUCUAAAUGGCGAAGGACAAUGACCCAACACACCUUCAGGCUGUAUAAGAGCUAUUUGAACAAGGAGAGUGAUGGAGUGCUGCAUCAGAUGACCUGGCCUCCACAAUCACCCGACCUCAAUCCAAUUGAGAUGGUUUGAGAUGAGUUGGACCACAGAGUGAAGCAAAAGCAGCCAACAAGUGCUCAGCAUAUGUGGGAAGUCCUUCAAGACUGUUGGAAAAGCUUUCCAGGUGAAGCUGGUUGAGAGAAUGCCAGGAGAGUGCAAAGAUGUCAUCAAGGCAAACAGUGGCUACUUUGAAGACUAUAAAAUCUCAAAUAUUUUUUGAUUUGUUUAACACUUUUUUUUGGUUACUACAUGAUUCCAUAUGUGUUAUUUCAUACUUUUGUCUUCACUAUUAUUUUACAAUUGAGAAAAUAGUAAAAAUGAAGAAAAACCCUUGAA